GAUGAACGCUGGCGGCGUGCCUAAUACAUGCAAGUCGAGCGAACGGACGAGAAGCUUGCUUCUCUGAUGUUAGCGGCGGACGGGUGAGUAACACGUGGAUAACCUACCUAUAAGGCUGGGAUAACUUCGGGAAACCGGAGCUAAUACCGGAUAAUAUUUUGAACCGCAUGGUUCAAAAGUGAAAGACGGUCUUGCUGUCACUUAUAGAUGGAUCCGCGCUGCAUUAGCUAGUUGGUAAGGUAACGGCUUACCAAGGCAACGAUGCAUAGCCGACCUGAGAGGGUGAUCGGCCACACGGGAACUGAGACACGGUCCAGACUCCUACGGGAGGCAGCAGUAGGGAAUCUUCCGCAAUGGGCUAAAGCCUGACGGAGCAACGCCGCGUGAGUGAUGAAGGUCUUCGGAUCGUAAAACUCUGUUAUUAGGGAAGAACAUAUGUGUAAGUAACUGUGCACAUCUUGACGGUACCUAAUCAGAAAGCCACGGCUAACUACGUG
rnacentral:rRNA from 1 species